GACGAAGGUGGCUAGCGUUGCUCGGAUUUACUGGGCAUAAAGCGCGCGUAGGUGGUCGUGUAAGCGGGGGAUGAAAGCCCAUGGCUCACCCAUGGAACUGUCCCCCGGACUGCACGGCUCGAGGAAGGAAGGGGAGAAUGGAAUUCCCGGUGUAGCGGUGAAAUGCGUAGAUAUCGGGAGGAACGCCGGUGGCGAAAGCGAUUCUCUGGUCCUUUCCUGACACUGAGGCGCGAAAGCUAGGGGAGCAAACAGGAUUAGAUACCCUGGUAGUCCUAGCUGUAAACGAUGGGCACUAGGUAGAGGGGGUGUCGAUACUCUCUCUGUCGUAGCAAAUGUGUUAAGUGCCCCGCCUGGGGAGUACGGUCGCAAGGCUAAA
rnacentral:rRNA from 1 species